GACGAACGCUGGCGGCGUGCCUAAUACAUGCAAGUAGAACGCUGAAGGAGGAGCUUGCUUCUCUGGAUGAGUUGCGAACGGGUGAGUAACGCGUAGGUAACCUGCCUGGUAGCGGGGGAUAACUAUUGGAAACGAUAGCUAAUACCGCAUAAUAGUAGAUGUUGCAUGACAUUUUCUUAAAAGGUGCAAUUGCAUCACUACCAGAUGGACCUGCGUUGUAUUAGCUAGUUGGUGGGGUAACGGCUCACCAAGGCGACGAUACAUAGCCGACCUGAGAGGGGGAUCGGCCACACUGGGACUGAGACACGGCCCAGACUCCUACGGGAGGCAGCAGUAGGGAAUCUUCGGAAAUGGACGGAAGUCUGACCGAGCAACGCCGCGUGAGUGAAGAAGGGUGUCGGAUCGUAAAGCUCUGUUGUAAGAGAAGAACGAGUGUGAGAGUGGAAAGUUCACACUGUGACGGUAGCUUACCAGAAAGGGACGGCUAACUACGUG
rnacentral:rRNA from 1 species